CAGGAAUGAGAUGAGCCAGUGCUCACUAAGGUUGAGCUAGGGCUUGCCCCUGGAAACUUCCUCUACUCACUUUACCAAUCUCAGCCUGUACUUCUCGAAGUUUCCGCUUAUAUCGCUGGGCAUCUCCUUUUAGCUGGUGAUUGUGGUUCUGGAGGCUGCUAAUCAGGUGGCGCAUUUCACGGUUGAUAGGCCCUGGGGAAAAGUCAGGAAGGAAGUGUUGAGCUGUCUCCUUCCGGCUCUCCAACUCCAGAGGCUGAGCCAGUGCCAAUACAGAAGCAGGGAAGCAGGCCUCACAGAGGCUGGAGAAAUGGCUCAGUGGGUAAGAAAGAGCACUGUCUGCUCUUGCAGAGCACUCCUGGUCAAUUUCCAGCACCGAUGGCACCUUCAACUGUCUGCAAUUUCAGUUCCAGGAGUUGUGGCCAGGACUUCUGGCCUCUGUGAGCACCAGGCACACAUGCAUGCAAACAAAAUGCUUACACACAUAAACAUUCAUCUUUUUAGUUUAUUUGUAUGGUGUUUUACUUACAUACUUCUGUGCACCAUGUGUGUGCAAUGGAGUAUACUCAAAGGCCAGAAAAGGCAUUGGAUCACUGGGAAUUAUGGGUAUAGGCAAUCAAAUCUGGGUCCUCUGGAAGAGCAAAGUAGUCAGUGUUCUUAACCACUGAGCCACCUCUCUAGUCGGUGGGGAGGUGGGAAUGGAGGUGGAUAGGGGACUACACUUUAUUUUUUAAAGAUUUAGUUUUAUUUAUGUGCUUUGCACAU
rnacentral:lncRNA from 1 species